rnacentral:lncRNA from 1 species
UCAACGAAUAAUUAUUUUACCAAAUAACUUGGAAAUAUCCUUUGAAGCAUUAGAUUACUUACCUCUUAUCACUUCAAAAAUUUUACUUCAGAUAGACAGGUCAGGUACACCUGUUUUACUAUAAUUAACACAUCAUAAAUUUCAUCAUCAUUCUAGAAUCAAGCAAAGUCAAAAUUAAACACCACUCAAGAACGACCUCAUGCCUCCAAAUCAGAUUGAUCAGCUGAUAAUGCCUGAUUGCCUAGAUCAGUCCAAGCAAGCUAAACUAAACUGAUCGAGAUCAGAUAUGAUUUAAGUGACUCAAUGAAAGUCAAUGAUGAUCGAAUUCCAAAAAGAUUUGAUAACGCUGAAGUAAAGGGCCUGUCUACCGUCUGGGUAUCGAGGUGGUUCAAGGUUUCUUAACUGGAUCAACCUUGGAUAUGAGCAACAAAAAAAGUCGGGCUCACACUGGGAUUCCCGAGCUUGUCUAGAGAGAAAAGAGGGAGAGGAGAGAGAAUCUCAGCCCAAGUUGAAUCAGGGAGAGGAGAGAGAAUCUCAGCUCGGGUUCAGUCAGGAGUCUAGGUUUGUCCGUCAUAGUAGCAUAAACCAUCACAACAUUUGACCAUAGGCUUGGAAGCGAAAUUAACAAUUUUAGGGAAGAACAACAAAAUCCAUAUAUUUAUAGAGAUCUAAUAAUUAAAUAAAAAGAAAGAAUGGGAAGAAGAAUAAAUAAAAACUAAGAAGAAGGAGAAGAAGUCGGAAAGGAAGAGAGGGAAAGAAGGAGGAGAAGGAAGUAGCUAGAGAAGAAGGUCCAGUAGCGGUCGGGCCUAGGUAGUCGACGGCUA